rnacentral:rRNA from 1 species
UAAGAGGUCCCGCCUGCCCUGUGACUAUAUGUUUAACGGCCGCGGUAUUUUAACCGUGCGAAGGUAGCGCAAUCACUUGUCUCUUAAAUGGGGACCUGUAUGAAUGGCAUAACGAGGGCUUAACUGUCUCCUUUUUCAAGUCAAUGAAAUUGAUCUCCCCGUGCAGAAGCGGGGAUAACAACAUAAGACGAGAAGACCCUAUGGAGCUUUAGACACCAAGGCAGAUCAUGUUAAACACCCCUAAAUAAAGGGCUAAACCAAAAGAAACCUGCCCUAAUGUCUUCGGUUGGGGCGACCGCGGGGAAACAAAAAUCCCCCACGUGGAACGGGAGAUUCCGUAUUUUCCAUCUCCUAAAACUAAGAGCCCCCGCUCUAGUAAACAGAAUUUCUGACCAAUAAUGAUCCGGCAAUGCCGAUCAACGGACCAAGUUACCCUAGGGAUAACAGCGCAAUCCUCUUUUAGAGCCCAUAUCGACAAGGGGGUUUACGACCUCGAUGUUGGAUCAGGACAUCCUAAUGGUGCAGCCGCUAUUAAGGGUUCGUUUGUUCAACG